CCCUUAGACGUUCUGGGCCGCACGCGCGCUACACUGACCAGUGCAACAAGCAUCCGUCCUUGGCCGACAGGCCCGGGCAAUCUUUGAACGCUGGUCGUGAUGGGAUAGACUUUUGCAAUUUUUGGUCUUCAACGAGGAAUUCCUAGUAAACGCAAGUCAUCAACUUGCAUUGAUUACGUCCCUGCCCUUUGUACACACCGCCCGUCGCACCUACCGAUUGAAUGGUCCGGUGAAGCCUCCGGAUUGGCGCGCACCUCGGUGCCGCCGAGAAGUUGGCUAAACCUUACCAUUUAGAGGAAGGUGAANUCGUAACA
rnacentral:rRNA from 1 species